rnacentral:rRNA from 1 species
UACGGGGGGGCAAGCGUUGUUCGGAAUUACUGGGCGUAAAGGGCUCGUAGGCGGCCAACUAAGUCAGACGUGAAAUCCCUCGGCUUAACCGGGGGAACUGCGUCUGAUACUGGAUGGCUAGAGUUUGGGAGAGGGAUGCGGAAUUCCAGGUGUAGCGGUGAAAUGCGUAGAUAUCUGGAGGAACACCGGUGGCGAAGGCGGCAUCCUGGGACCAACACUGACGCUGAGGAGCGAAAAGCCGUGGGGGAGCAAACAGGGAUUAAGAAACCCCU